UACGUAGGGUGCAAGCGUUAAUCGGAAUUACUGGGCGUAAAGCGUGCGCAGGCGGUUGUGCAAGACCGAUGUGAAAUCCCCGGGCUUAACCUGGGAAUGGCAUUGGUGACUGCACGGCUAGAGUGUGUCAGAGGGGGGUAGAAUUCCACGUGUAGCAGUGAAAUGCGUAGAGAUGUGGAGGAACACCGAUGGCGAAGGCGGCCCCCCUGGGUCAAGAUUGACGCUCAUGCACGAAAGCGUGGGGAGCAAACAGG
rnacentral:rRNA from 1 species